AAGGCAAUGAUGAUUGGCGCAGGGGUACAGACCUCAGCUGAAUCAUGGGAGCUGAAUGUAAAUGUUUCUCUGUCCUGCAUGUAGUGGGNCAGCAUU
rnacentral:snoRNA from 1 species